CCACCUCUUCCCAUUCCGAACAGAGAAGUUAAGCUUCGUCACGCCGAUGGUACUGCUAAUUGUGGGAGAGUAGGUAGUCGCCGUUU
rnacentral:rRNA from 1 species